GACGAACGCUGGCGGCGUGCUUAACACAUGCAAGUCGAACGGAAAGGCCCUGCUUUUGUGGGGUGCUCGAGUGGCGAACGGGUGAGUAGCACGUGAGUAACCUGCCCUUGACUUUGGGAUAACUUCAGGAAACUGGGGCUAAUACCGGAUAGGAGCUCCUGCUGCAUGGUGGGGGUUGGAAAGUUUCGUCGGUUGGGGAUGGACUCGCGGCUUAUCAGCUUGUUGGUGGGGUAGUGGCUUACCAAGGCUUUGACGGGUAGCCGGCCUGAGAGGGUGACCGGCCACAUUGGGACUGAGAUACGGCCCAGACUCCUACGGGAGGCAGCAGUGGGGAAUAUUGCACAAUGGGCGGAAGCCUGAUGCAGCAACGCCGCGUGCGGGAUGACGGCCUUCGGGUUGUAAACCGCUUUCGCCUGUGACGAAGCGUGAGUGACGGUAAUGGGUAAAGAAGCACCGGCUAACUACGUG
rnacentral:rRNA from 1 species